rnacentral:rRNA from 1 species
UACAGAGGUCUCAAGCGUUGUUCGGAUUCAUUGGGCGUAAAGGGUGUGUAGGUGGCGCGCUAAGUCGGGUGUGAAAUUUCGGAGCUUAACUCCGAAACUGCAUUCGAUACUGGCGUGCUUGAGGACUGGAGAGGAGACUGGAAUUCAUGGUGUAGCAGUGAAAAUGCGUAGAGAUCAUGAGGGAAAGACCAGUGGCGAAG